rnacentral:lncRNA from 1 species
UGGGAGGGAGUUUACAAAACCUCUCUUGUUUUAAGGCAGGAUAGCCUCCAACGUACAAUAUAUGCUCCAGAGUUCCCUGUGGGAUUGAGGUAAGGCUGGACUUCACCUGAAGGCCUCAUUCUUGCUUAGUUUCUUCCUAAACUACAUCGUGUUCUCUUUCUCCCUUAUAGAUUUCUUCUGAGAGCACUUCCUCAAUAAACCACUUAGGCACAAAUCAUGGUCUGAGUCUCUGCUUUUAAGAAAGCCAACUCUACCAGGACCAUGUAAAGCUGAUUCAGAGAUCUUGAAGGGAGUUUUUAAUUCUCAGAGUGAAAGGGCUGCAGUCUAUUCCAUGUGGUCCUGAAGUUCAGUUUAAAUAUGCUUGAGGCAAUUUAAGCUCUCUGAUAUUGAAGACUAUUAAUUUUGUGCAUGAUAUAUAUGAUUGAAACUUUGGUUUAAAACUUAUGGUUGUCUGUAUUAAAUGUGUGUUUACUUCCAAGGAACGCUACCAUGGGCGUCCCACACUGACUCACUGUCUCUGUUCCCUGGAUUGCUUUCUCAGGCAUAAGAAGACAUCUUGCUCUGAACAAGUCUGCUGCCUAAUUGGGUAAGGGGACAAACACCAAAAUGUAAUCUGCAGGAGCUGCCUGAUGCAAGUGCUCACACGCUGGGAGUUCCUGGGGUGAGAGUAGAGUGAGAUCUGCAUGAUCCCCAACUCCUGCAAGAAGCUCAGUGGUCAUGAGACUUACAUCUGGACUUGGCUGGCCUGGAAGAGUCUGGAAGAAUGUACAAGACCUGCCGUCCCCAAAACUAGCCCUGGUGGAAGCUGCUGGCCCAGAGAUUCCCCCCUUGCAGACUGUUUUCUGGUCUGGCCUCUGGGACUCACUUGUGAAAUGGCUUGAGUGUUGGAGUCACUGCCUUAUUGGAGAGAAAUUUCAGAAGUCACCACCCCACUCCAGGAAUGAAGGUAAUGUCAAGGAUCCUAGGCGAAUAUCCCAAUAUGUCUCUAUGUUUCUUUCUCUCGUCAUCCUAGGAUGCAAACAGGUUGAAGACAGGAGCUGUCUUUAA